AGGUUGUUGCUGACACCCAAAAAGCUCCUCAGUAGAUAUGUUCCUCUCCAGCACAUCACUUGGUGGAUCUAGAGAGGCAACCAUCAGCUUAUGAAAACGGGCAAAUAAAUUGCCUGCUAUUGUUCCUUACCAAGAGCUCUUAUCUACAUACAUGAAUGUGAACUCUGUAUCCAAUGGUAAAGCUCGCUUUAUCAGG